rnacentral:lncRNA from 1 species
UGGAAACUGAUUUUCAGAAUGGUUUUUGUGAUUUUCGCAAAGUUAAAAUUUCAAAGGAAAAGCCUUUGUGUGGUAGAUACUUUUAACUAUUAGGAUGAAUGUGGAUUAAAAAUGUGACUAAUUAAGGACGGCUAGCUGUAUGUUAAAAUGAGUUGAUCUUUGUACGUCCUAUUAUUGUGUCUGUGAAUAGAGAUCUGGUUGUUUAAUUGUACUAUGUGUUAUGCCGUGCAAAUAAAGGGAAGAUUUUGUCUGUUUGUUCCGUGAAUUUUUUGUAUUUGUGGCGAAUUUGUUGCGCGAUUUUGGGAUCCAGUUUUUUUUUUUUAAAAAAAGAGGAACAGUUUUUUGUUUAUUCUGAUUUACAAAGAUAUCCCGUUUUCGAAUUGGCUUUCAGAACGGACUCCGGGGCAUGACAAGUUUGUUAUG